GAGAAUGUCGGGUGAUAUUACGCAUGCCUUGGCCCCCUUGUGAUAAUCCUCAAGGGGACGACGAGACAUUACAAGCUAUUCAUGGUAUUCAUAUGCGCCAAACAGUCGGAGGUCUGUCGAAACAUAUUGCAAUCUAAUCUAAAUACAUUGCUCGCUUGUCGUAGAAAUUUUAUCACGGCGCGAUGCCCAUCCAGCCAUCCUUGGGCCAUGCGACAGGGACGGAUCUGACAUAUGUAAAUGGGCAGUGCAUGUAUCAUUUUUGCGAAGCAAUGACUUCCUUUGCGCUGCGGGGUUACCCGUGUAUCAACUGGCUCAUGCUGGGACGAUGAGAACUAUGCACUGCUCUGCGCACCUUGAUUUCAUGCCCUUGCGAAAGACAAAUAUGUUGGUUGAGAGACAGUUCGAAAGGCCAGGAGCUGAAGCUUGCGGAAUAUUGGAAGAAGCAAGCUGAAGAUCUUGGAUAAGUGCGUUGGCGGGGUCCGGGGACUAUGGAGGGGGAUAGCUACGAUGUCAGAUGAAGGAACCGACGAUGUACUUAUAGAUUAGCGAGGGGGGAAGAUCAGGG
rnacentral:sRNA from 1 species